rnacentral:lncRNA from 1 species
CUCUGCAUCCCUAGAGGAAGAGAGCCCGCCUGGGCGCCCCUGAGCCGCUCCCCAGGGGAGAGAGGAGAUCUCUGUUUACUCAAGACCGAAAGCAGCCGGAUUCAAGGUAUUCCAGACAACUCAGGCCCAUCUGCUACACUUGAUGGAAGAAGGGAUCGUGUAUCUUCUGCAAAGGAGAGCCAGAGAGAGUGCUGCUGGAGACGGGUAACUCAGCAGCAACAUCUCACAGAAACACAGGCAGGAAGGAAUGAUCCACUGGAUGAUGUCGCCCACUUGAAAGAACGUUGGGAGCUAUUACCUCUUCAAAGUGAUGUGUCGCCUGUUUGAAUAGCUUGUAUGCAAGCAAAAGAUUCCGCUGUAAUCUAGCUCUGCCAGGUCAGAGACUCACCAGCUUCCACUGAGAGUCAGAUGGUGGUGAUUGGAGGUGGGGGAAGGGAAGGAGGUGACAGAACCUUGGGUCCUUGAACAGGAGAGCCUGCUCAUGUUUACAGAAGUAAGCACACUUUGCCUGAAGCAGCUCUCCUCUGAUCCAGCUCCUACUGCCUUGCUUGUCACCCUGUCUCACAUAGCUCUCCACUCCAGAUGAUGGAGCUGGAGAUGAUGGAGCUGGAGAUGACGGUCUGCUGCUCAUGCUGAAGUGUUGGAGGAGUCUCAGUGCAUUCGUGCUCCCCGAUUUCCUUGGCCCUUACUACUCCACAUGCUCUUAUCUCUCUAGCUCUGCUUCCCAGAUUUAAUGGAUUUAGAUAAGGGACUAUCGUUAAAUAUUAUUUGAGAUUGUCCUAGAAAGUUUGAGUACUAAAAGCUUGGAUUCUGUUAUGAUUCUGAGAGAUGACAGACCCUUUAAGAGGGAGACAUGGUGUGAGGUAAUUUCGUCAUCGGGGAUGCUGUCCUCUCAUGACCUCAGUUAGCUCUCCCAAGAGCAAACUGGUGUGAAUUCCUCUGGCUUCUCACAGAUGCUCCUAUUGUCACUUGCCACAUGGGAUGUGGCCCAAAGAACCUCCCCAGAGCCAAGCACCAGACCUGUGCACUUGUAGAACAGUGAGUUAAUUUUGACCAGCUAUAUGGUGAACUGGAUGAGUCUCCAAGCCAUGAUCUCACUACGAAAGGCACAUGCUUAACUGUAGGCACUGGCACAGGGAGAGGAAUCCAUUUGUUCCUGAAUCAUAGAAGGGUGAGGUCAAGUGAAGGAACAAGAAAGAUGACGUCUCAGGUGGAGGACACCUACCUACCACUCAGCACUGUCAGCCUGAGUUCACGACCUUCACAGCUUCAGUGCAGGCAGGUAACUAACUCUUCCUGGUCUCUGAAGUGGAAACUUUAAGGUUCU